GUGCUCACUUCGGCAGCACAUGUACUAAAAUUGGAACGAUAUAGAGAAGAUUAGCAUGGCCCUUGUGCAAGGAUGAAACACAAAUUUGUGAAGUGUUACAUAUUUUU
ensembl:snRNA U6 U6 spliceosomal RNA